rnacentral:rRNA from 1 species
AACGCGAAGAACCUUACCGAGGCUUGACAUCGGAGGAACAUCCUAGAAAUAGGGUUUCGGAGCAAUCCGACUUCCAGACAGGUGCUGCAUGGCUGUCGUCAGCUCGUGCCGUGAGGUGUUGGGUUAAGUCCCGCAACGAGCGCAACCCUCGUCGUGUGUUGGUCCGCAAGGAUCUCUCACGCGAGACCGCCGGUGAGAAGCCGGAGGAAGGUGGGGAUGACGUCAAGUCAGCAUGGCCCUUACGUCUCGGGCUACACACGUGCUACAAUGGGUAGGACAACGAGUCGCAAACUAGUGAUAGUAAGCUAAUCUCUUAAACCUACCCUCAGUUCGGAUUGAAGGCUGCAACUCGCCUUCAUGAAGUCGGAAUCGCUAGUAAACGCAGAUCAGCUACGCUGCGUUGAAUACGUUCCCGGGCCUUGUACACACCGCGAGC